rnacentral:rRNA from 1 species
UACGGGGGGGCAAGCGUUGUUCGGAAUUACUGGGCGUAAAGGGCUCGUAGGUGGCCAACUAAGUCAGACGUGAAAUCCCUCGGCUUAACCGGGGAACUGCAUCUGAUACUGGAUGGCUUGAGUUCGGGAGAGGGAUGCGGAAUUCCAGGUGUAGCGGUGAAAUGCGUAGAUAUCUGGAGGAACACCGGUGGCGAAAGCGGCUCACUGGACCACAACUGACGCUGAUGCACGAAAGCUAGGGGAGCAAACAGG